UACGAAGGGUGCAAGCGUUACUCGGAAUUACUGGGCGUAAAGCGUGCGUAGGUGGUUUGUUAAGUCUGUUGUGAAAGCCCCGGGCUCAACCUGGGAAUGGCAAUGGAUACUGGCAAGCUAGAGUGCGGUAGAGGGUAGUGGAAUCCCGGUGUAGCGGUGAAAUGCGUAGAGAUCGGGAGGAACACCAGUGGCGAAGGCGGCUACCUGGACCGGCAUUGACGCUGAGGUGCGAAAGCGUGGGGAGCAAACAGG
rnacentral:rRNA from 1 species